rnacentral:rRNA from 1 species
UACGUAGGCCGCGAGCGUUGUUCGGAGUUAUUGGGCGUAAAGCGUGCGUAGGCGGCGUUUUAAGUUUGUUGUGAAAUCUCCCGGCUUAACCGGGAGGGUGCGGCGAAUACUGAGAUGCUGGAGUGCCGGAGAGGUAAGCGGAAUUCCUGGUGUAGCGGUGAAAUGCGUAGAUAUCAGGAGGAACACCUGCGGUGUAGACGGCUUACUGGACGGUAACUGACGCUGAGGCACGAAAGCGUGGGUAGCAAACAGG